AACGAACGCUGGCGGCGCGCCUAACACAUGCAAGUCGAGCGUUAAACUUCCCUUCGGGGAAGAUAUAAAGCGGCGGACGGGUGAGUAAUGCAUAGAUAAUCUGCCCCAAAGCGGGGGACAACCAACCGAAAGGGUGGCUAAUACCGCGUAAGCUGGUUCCAUAUAAGUGGAAUUAGUAAAGGCUUCGGCCACUUUGGGAUGAGUCUAUGUCUGAUUAGCUAGUUGGUGGGGUAAAAGCUUACCAAGGCAACGAUCGGUAGCUGGUCUGAGAGGACGAGCAGCCACACUGGGACUGAGAUACGGCCCAG
rnacentral:rRNA from 1 species